rnacentral:rRNA from 1 species
CCCUUAGAUGCUCUGGGCCGCACGCGCGCUACACUGGUCGAUGCAUCGAGUUUCUUUCCUUGGCCGACAGGCCUGGGCAAUCUUUGAACAUCGAUCGUGAUCGGGAUAGAUUCUUGUAAUUUUUGAUCUUAAACGAGGAAUUCCUAGUAAACGCAAGUCAUCAGCUUGCAUUGAUUACGUCCCUGCCCUUUGUACACACCGCCCGUCGCACCUACCGAUUGAAUGGUCCGGUGAAAUCUCCGGACUGGCGUGAGUCGGAGCAAUCUGACAAACACCGGAAAGUUGAUUAAACCUUACCAUUUAGAGGAAGGUGAANUCGUAACA